ACCCCUACGGGAGGCAGCAGUGGGGAAUCUUAGACAAUGGGCGCAAGCCUGAUCUAGCGAUGCCGCGUGAGUGACGAAGGUCUUAGGAUCGAAAAGCUCUUUCGCCUGUGAUGAUAAUGACAGUAGCAGCUUAAGAAUCCCCGGCUAACUCCGUGCCAGCAGCCGCGGUAA
rnacentral:rRNA from 1 species